rnacentral:rRNA from 1 species
AGUGAACGCUGGCGGUAGGCCUAACACAUGCAAGUCGAACGGCAGCACAGUAAGGGCUUGCUCUUACGGGUGACGAGUGGCGGACGGGGGAGGAAUACUUCGGAAUCUACUUUUUCGUGGGGGAGAACGUAGGGAAACUAACGCUAAUACCUCAUACGACCUACGGGUGAAAGCAGGGGAUCUUCGGACCUUGCGCGAUUGAAUGACCCGAUGUCGGAUUAGCUAGUUGGCGGGGUAAAGGCCCACCAAGGCGACGAUCCGUAGCUGGUCUGAGAGGAUGAUCAGCCACACUGGAACUGAGACACGGUCCAGACUCCUACGGGAGGCAGCAGUGGGGAAUAUUGGACAAUGGGCGCAAGCCUGCUCCAGCCAUACCGCGUGGGUGAAGAAGGCCUUCGGGUUGUAAAGCCCUUUUGUUGGGAAAGAAAAGCAGCAGGUUAAUACCCCGCUGUUCUGACGGUACCCAAAGAAUAAGCACCGGCUAACUUCGUG